UUGAUUUUCAUCUCAUGUAAGCAUACAUAGAACCUUGAUCUUCAUCUCAGCUUUCUGAGUAGCUAAGAUAACAGGUGUGAGUCACUGGUGCCCAUCUGAACAUGAACACUUGUAAUAUACUAGUAAUGAGGAUGCACAUACAUUGUUUAGCCAAAUGCUGACCAGUUUUUACUUCUUUUUGGGAGUACUGGAGACUCAAAACCUCAUACUUGCUAGGCAGGAUCAAUACCACUUGGCCAACCCCCCACCCUUUUUGGCU